GGUAGUAUAGCUCAGUGGUAGAGCACUUGCCUAGCAUGUACAAGGUCCUGGGUUCAACACCCAGUACAACCA
rfam:Heterocephalus glaber contig197302, whole genome shotgun sequence.